rnacentral:rRNA from 1 species
CCUACGGGAGGCAGCAGUGGGGAAUAUUGGGCAAUGGGCGCAAGCCUGACCCAGCAACGCCGCGUGAAGGAAGAAGGCUUUCUGGUUGUAAACUUCUUUUUAUAGGGAAGAGCAGAAGACGGUACCUCUUUAAUCACCCAUGACUCACUACUUGCCACCAGCCGCGGUAAUACGUAGGUGGCAGGCGUUGUCCGGAUUUACUGGGUGAAAAGGGCGUGCAGCCGGGAAGACAAGUCAGAUGGAAAAUCCCGCGGCUCAACCGCGGAACUGCAUUUGAAACUGUUUUUCGUGAGGAACGGAGGGGUGAUCGGAAUUCCUGGUGUAGCGGGGAAAUGCGUAGAUAUAAGGAAGAACACCAGUGGCGAAGGCGGAUGACUGGACGGGAACGGACGGUGAGGCGCGAAAGGGUGGGGAGCAAACAGGAUUAGAUACCCAGUAGUC